ensembl:lncRNA IL12A-AS1 IL12A antisense RNA 1
CAUCUUCACUAAAGGGCGCUGUGGAAACGCUGCCUGAGAUGCAGACACCUGUCAGAAGGGGGCUAAAUUUCAAACAAGGAACGUGGUGUUGCAUCACAAUAAAUAGAUACGGGGUUUCACCGUGUUAGCCAGGAUGGUCUCGAUCUCCUGACUUCAUGAUUCACAUGCCUCGGCCUCCCAAAGUGCUGGGAUUACAGAACAGAAGAAACACACGUGUUCUUGUGUGUAAACCCAGUCCAUGGAAGAGACCGUCUGCUUGUCCCUCCUGAUCUCUGGGCCCAGACAACCAGUAGUCACCAUUCCAAGUGAGGGGUGGCUGCAACUCUACAGCCCCGUUCGUCUCUCCUCACUGUCAAAGCUGCUGAGACCCCAGACUCGACACUUGAAAGAAACCCAUGUCUGUGAAGCACUUGUGGACCAUUCAAGAUUGUGGAAGAAUCACUCAAGAGAAGGAGAUAGGAGACGGCUGCUGCUGUUCCAGUCUCUCCUUAGGCAGACUUGAGUUUCUACCCACUCUUCCCAAGCAGCCGCCCCUCCGCACCCGAGCGAGCCAAAGACCUGGCGGGCUGAGUACUCACUGCGCGCUGGACACAUGCUGAGCCGGCA